rnacentral:rRNA from 1 species
UACGAAAGGAGCAGGUGUUAUUCAGAUUAACUGGGCGUAAAGGGCACGUAGGUGGUUUGUUUAUGUGUAUUAUUAAAUUGUAAAGCAUAACUUUAUAACGUAUAAAACAAAACUAGAGUUAGGGAGAGGUGAGUGGAACUGCGAGUGUAGAGGUGAAAUUCGUAGAUAUUCGCAAGAACACCAGUGGCGAAGGCGGCUCACUGGCCCGGUACUGACGCUGAGGUGCGAAAGCGUGGGGAGCAAACAGG